GCUCGUGUAGCUUAAUCAAAGCAUAACACUGAAGAUGUUAAGAUGGGCCCUAGAAAGCCUCACAGGCA
rnacentral:tRNA from 1 species